UACGAAGGGGGCUAGCGUUGCUCGGAAUCACUGGGCGUAAAGCGCACGUAGGCGGCUUGUUAAGUCAGGGGUGAAAUCCUGGAGCUCAACUCCAGAACUGCCUUUGAUACUGGCGAGCUUGAGUCCGGGAGAGGUGAGUGGAACUGCGAGUGUAGAGGUGAAAUUCGUAGAUAUUGGGAAGAACACCGGUGGCGAAGGCGGCUCACUGGCUCAUAUCUGACGCUCAGGCGCGACAGCGUGGGGAUCAAACAGG
rnacentral:rRNA from 1 species